UGAUCCUGGCUCAGGAUGAACGCUAGCGGCAGGCCUAACACAUGCAAGUCGAACGGUAACAGGGAUUAGCUUGCUAAUCCGCUGACGAGUGGCGCACGGGUGCGUAACGCGUAUACAAUCUGCCUUUAAGCGGGGAAUAGCCCAUGGAAACGUGGAUUAAUACCCUAUAGUCUAUAAACUUCACCUGGAGAUUAUAGUAAACAUUUAUGGCUUAAAGAUGAGUAUGCGUCCUAUUAGUUAGUUGGUAAGGUAACGGCUUACCAAGACGGCGAUAGGUAGGGGUCCUGAGAGGGAGAUCCCCCACACUGGUACUGAGACACGGACCAGACUCCUACGGGAGGCAGCAG
rnacentral:rRNA from 1 species